CUUGUGAAGUAUAACCUUCUUUUUAAAUUUGAUAUACUUUAUUUUUUGUUAAGAGACAGUCUUACUCUGUCACCCAGGCUGGAGUGCAGAGGCACAAUCUCAGGUCACUGCAGCCUCUACCUCCCAAGUGAUCAAGUGAUCCUCCCACCACAGCCCCCUGAGUAACUGGGACUACAGGCAUGAGCCAUUGCACCUGACAAGAAUAGGCUUUUAAUGGUUCUUCUGAUUAUUUCCAUAUCUCCCAGAUCUCCAUAAAUUUGAUAGACCCACUCCUCUCAUUUGGACUGAGUGGAAACCAAGUUCCAGAGUGACUGGGCAAUAAAUAUGGAGGAAACAGCAUCCCCAGCCUCUACUCACUGCCAGAAUGACCAGCUUCCCCAGCCGAGACAACCAAAAAAUGUUUCCAGGAGAAGAAUUGAUGGCCCAAAGUGACUGUCCUGCCCUGUGAUCUACCCUUUAGCUGAAGAAACAGCAAAACUGGCAUCGACUGCAGCAACUGGGAGCAUCAAGUUUUUAUUCAUUUGUUGAUUUGAACAGUAUUUCAUUCUGAUUUUAACUGACUUCUUUUGCAUUUGAUUAAAAACAAUAACAAAACACUGAAAUCUUUCAAAAACAAAGAGGAGCUGGCCUAUAAAUCCUAAAUACAGAUAUAGUGAUUGAACACAUCUAGGUAGCUUAUGAAUAUAAAACUCACCUAAAGUAUCAUCCACCCCUAAGAGAUAACCACUGUUAAUAUUUUGGCAACUAUUCUUUGAAACAUUUGUGUCUAAAUACAAAUACCUAUGUGUGUGCAAUUUUACUUCACUGUGAUCAUAGUAAGCCUGCUGUUCUGUAGCCUGUUUUUUUUUUUUAAAUCUUGAUAAUAGAUGAUAGAAAUCUUUUCACUUAAAAAACAAUGUUAUAUGUGAAGCAAAAUUUGCUUAACCAUUUUUUUAUUUAUGCUUUCGAUUUGUCACUAUUAUAUGCAAUUCUGUAAUGAAUCUAUCUGAGCGUACAUGUUUUUACUCUUCUGUAAUUAUGCUGUGUAAGUAAAUUCCUAGAGGUAUGAUUGCUCGGUCCAAGGGCAUACACUCCUAACUUCUUUUUUUAGUGCUGCUGUGGCUUCACCAAAGUUCAAAAAGGGGAAGUGAAUGAAUGGUAGGAGGAACACUGGGGUCUUGGGGUGACUCCAUUAAAAAACUUUGAAAAAGGGAAAUAAAAACAAAGCUAUCUUCUGAAGAUUAAACUUUAAAAUCAGCACACAGCAGGCCAAAACAGAGAUGUGCAAAACCAUGCUGAAGAGAUGAGUCAUGGUCACUCAAGUGGUGUGUGAGUCUGGUCAGGAACCAGAAGCCCUCCUGGUUUUUCACACUGAGGGGGUCUAAUU
rnacentral:lncRNA from 1 species